CAGUGGGCAGAGCUGCAAGUACAUACACCUGUGGUCACAGCUGACAGCUUCCCUCCUUUCUCCUCCAGCAACAGACAUAAAUCCCUAGAAAGGACUCCAAGUAGGUCUUCAGUUCAGGCCUAUCAGGUCAACUUGAGAGGAGAGACAGAGAGAGAAAGAGAAAAAGAGAACAGCUCCAUGUGGCUCCAGCAUGAUCUGCCGCGAAUUCCAAGACAGAGAGCAGAUGAUGCCAAUCUAUGGGCAAGGCCCAGUUUGGUGCCACAGUCCACCGAGAGGUUUCUUUGCCUCUGAUUUCUUUGGUGGGAAAUCAAGGUCCAGAUUGCCUCUGGCCCUGUAAGGAUUGGAGCAAGACAGCCAGGAGAGGAAGGAGUAUACAAGCCACCAUGGAGAUGAACUUCCUGAGGAGAAGUCAUGCCAACACUGGUUUAUCCAAUUCUCCCAGCCUACCAUACCCCCAUGGUCACCGCUGACUGGAUCACCAAGUAAAAGCAUCAGGAACCCUACCAUCCUCCCUGCACGUCACCCAGACUGAGCCUCUGCUCCCAGCAGGCCGGGCACCUGUGGGCCACAAGAAACUCAAACUAUGGCUCCCCGCUUCCCCGGCCUCCCACCCCACUGGACGGAUAAGCGAAACCACUGCUUGUGCUGCCCGGGGACAGUACUCCCAGUAUGCCUUGCACCUGAAGGACAUGAGGGACUCAAGCUGUGGCAGCAAAAGACCACUUAAGGCUGAAGUCACUUGGGAGGUUUGGCCGUGACUGGACUCUGGGUGACCUUGAUGGCAGCACCUCAAGGGCCACACAGAUUCCCUUCACCACCCUGACACCUGUUGGGCUCUGAGCUUUGCCCUUUAUGUUGUUUUGUUGUUUGGAUUGUUUUCUUCUUUUCUCACGUCUGUCACCAUUGUUCUGUGAGCCCGGGGAGGACUGGGGACUGUACCUAAUUUGUAUAGCACUUUACACACAGUAGGUAGUUCAAUAAAUACUAUCACUACCA